AACAUGCAUUCUACCUAUUCCAUUUCCUUUUGCUUCAUAAAAAGAUUAAAACCCAAAAAAAAUAUAUAUUAAGAAAGAGAUCUUGUUGAAACUCUGCUUAGAAAAAGAAUUACGAAAAAUCUAAAAAGCUUGGACAACUAAGGCUUAAGUGGCCAACUACUAAUGUUUAAUCGGUGCCACAACUUUUGUUGUCUAUUUGAGUUUAACAUGAUUUAAAGAGAGAAUCCCCAAUGAUCAAGAUAUCUUCAUCAACUUGGAAGCGCUGCAAUCAUCACUGACAUUUUGAAGCUCAAGAAUAUUGAAGAACAUCUGUGUUGUGCGGAUUCAAGAUUAAAGACUAUGUCAACAUUCAGC
rnacentral:lncRNA from 1 species